GCGCGGUCCACGUGCAGUCCAUGCACAAAACCAGCCAAAGUGAUCCAUGGGGGUCUACAGCAACAGUGAUCAGUUCACAGUCGGUUCAUAGAUUGGGUAUAUGUGCAGUCCAUAGCUAUAGGGAGGCGGGUCUUUUUAUCAUGGUGCAUGGGAAAUGGGGCUGGAUUUUGCACUAUUAGAUGGUUGGGUGCAAUCUUCAUGC
rnacentral:lncRNA from 1 species